GAGGAGCCAAACCGCUCAGCAGAGAGUGAUUCUCUCUGAGAAUUUUCCUCUGAUACUAGAUUUUGUAUUGGAAGAAUAAUGAUCCAAAAAAAAAAAGGAUCGGAGGCAGAGCUAGGAAUAGGAGACUGGCUUCCGCUGCUGGGUUUGCUGGGGCAGCCGUUGUCAGCUUCCCCCGGAGAAAGGUUAUCAACGGGUGGAGUCAAAGCCCGAUGUCAGGAUUCACCGAUUGGGUUUUCCAAAUGCCCAGUAUGGGUCAGCCAGUCAGAAAUCAAUCAGGCCUCCAUGGGGAGACCACAUGUCCUCUUUCGGUUCCCUGGGCACAUGCACGUGUUGGAUGCAUACGGUGUUCUGCACAGAGUGCCUGACUCAGCCUCUCCCACGUUCUCUGUUUCUUACUGCUUGCUGAUGGGCCUCUGGUCCACAGUGCAGGGAAGGCGGCUUCCCCCAGGACCUCUGGCUGGGCGUCAGUGCGGAUGCUGUGUCUGUGUACAAGCGUGGGGAGGGAAGACCGUUGGAAGUCUUCCAAUACGAGCACAUCCUCUCUUUCGGGGCGCCGCUGGCAAACACGUACAAAAUCGUGGUCGACGAGAGGGAGCUGCUCUUUGAAACCAGUGAGGUGGUGGACGUGGCCAAGCUCAUGAAAGCCUACAUCAGCAUGAUCGUGAAGAAACGCUACAGCACGUCGCGCUCCGUGAGCAGCCAGGGCAGCUCCAGGUGAAGGCAGGAGGGAAUCCCCGCGUCUCCAGCUUCCCGAGCGGCAGCCCUCUGGCCUGGGCCGGCGCCUGCGCAGAGCCGGGUGAAGCCGCCCCGCCUCCCGGAAGCCCCUCGCCGGAGGGAGGGGCCUCCGAGCGUCCUUCCGCCCUCUCAACUUCCGCGAGCCUGUAUUAAGCGGUCAACCUUAACAGCCAGCCCCGUUUGGAAAGCUUUACUACUCUUAGAUGUCACAUGCCUUAAAAGAGAGAGGACAAACCCCCCUCCGCCUCCCCCCCGCCCCCGCCAAAGCAGCCAGAAGUGCCUUAACGUGUGGACCCAACACUAACUGACCUUAACUGUGCUACUGAAGGGAGAUGCCCCCUCCUGCCAUCUUGGGGGAGACUUAGAAAGCUUGGACGGGGAGGGGCGUUUAUCCAUCAAUUCUGCACUAACCUCCCAGCCUGAUUUCCCUACUUUGAGGGAAGGUGAGGGAGCGGGGAGGGGGGACAGAGGGAGCACAAGGGGACAGGAUAUUUUAGUCGGAGCGCUGCUGGCAGCCUUCCCUGUGGACGUAGAUUAACUUCUGUUUUCUCUUUCACGUCUCUGUGCUUGCCUGUGCAUGCAUGUGUUCAUAAACUCAUCACUUUAAUCAUUGUCUCAUGAGCAUUAAAAGCAAAGGGAAAAGAGGAUGUGCAAUGGUGUAAACAGUCUGUCUGUAUAUUUUAAUAGUUCAGAGUUCUAGUCUUCAAUCGUUACUUUAUAAGGUGGUUUUAUUAACAGACCAGAAUCUUGGAUUUUCCUGUCUUUGCUGUAUUUCGAAAACCACGUUUUGACUCCGUUUUGUUUUACGUGUAGCAAAGUCUGCACUCUGUGUCUGCUGUAUUAUAAACAGAUAUGCAGCCCAUACAGAUAAUGGUAUUUAUAAACCACUCUGACUCCAAUGCUGUUUUUAGAACUAUAUGAAGUCAUUUUGGAGUCUUUAGUUUCUAAAAAAUUUAAGUUAAAAAAUUUCUUUGAAGGUGAGUUUGUAUCGCUCCAGGUAGAUGACCAUAUGACCACAUUGGGUAUGGUGGAAAGAAGCUUCAUUCCCCAGGGGUAUAAUGUGCGAGUGAAUCUUGAAAGGACCCUGACCAUAUAAAUGCCGAGGCUUUAAGAAAAUACAUUUUAUCCCAAGUUUAUAAUGAUAGUCCAAUAAGGUGCCUGUAAAUAAAUCAGCAUUUAUGACCAGAAGAAAAAUAAUCUGGUCCUGGACUUUUAUUUUUAUAUGGAAAAAAGUUGUAAAGACUUAGGCCAACUGAGUCUGCCCACAAAGAAAAAAAAAAUUGCCUUAUCUUUCCUGGACAGCCCUGCGAAAUCCUUGUUUGUUGGCUCAAAGUAAGUCUGACAAUAAAAGAUAUUAGCUAUC